rnacentral:tRNA from 1 species
AGUUUGAAAGCGAAAAAAGCAGCAGAUUCUUACUCUGUAGGUGGACUAAUUAUUAGGUCCUCAAGCUA